CCGACUAGACUCCGGUAUCGGAAUUCCCACCGUCCGAUGGAAUUUGGGUGUCGGAAACCUCUAGAAGGGUAAAAGCAUGUUUUUAUAAAAUGUUUUCAUGUUUUUAAUGUUUUUAAGUAUGAUUUUAAAUAAGUUUUAGCAUGAAAAUUCUUUAAGGAAAAACCCAGGUUCGGCCGCCGAAACUCACUUUCGGCCGCCGAACAUGCAUGGACUUUGGGAGGCACGUUAGGCCCCCGAAAGUCUAAGUGAGGGAAGUGCAGGUUCGGCCGCCGAACCUUAUGUUCGGCCGCCGAACAUUGCAUGGAUGCGGAGGCACAUUCGGCCCCCGAACGUGGCCUGGCCAGCCACUAUAAAAGGGUCCCCUUGGUCCGCACGGGCGAGCUUUUUCUCUCCCAUUGUCGGCCAAGGUGAGUCUCCGCCGCUCCUCCCUCGAUCUUGAGUGUUUCCUUUAGAUCUUUCAUGGUUUUAACAAGUCUUCAUCUUGCUUUGAAGUUUUUAAGCUUUUGAAACGAGUUUUGAGCAAGUUUUGAACUUGGAGACCCAAGGAGCUCAAUCUCUCCCAACUCCAAGUUAGAUCGCCUCCACUCUCGAUCUUCAAGAGGUAAGAGUCGAUCUCUAGCUUACAUUAUGUUUUAAACAAGUUUUAUGCAAGAUCUAUGGAGUAGAGAUGCAUGUUUAGGUUUGUUGAUGAGUUUAUGGUUUUGAUGCUUUGAUGAACAAUGUAGCUUGUUUGUGUAUGAAUGAAGUGUUGUAGAUGGGGUAUAUGCAUGUUUGAGGCCCCUAGGAACUUGUAUGCAUGUUUUGGUUGAGAAAUAUGCAUGAUCUGUGGUUUUGGGAGGCAGGAGGUUCAUUUGAACCAAGUUUCUGCCAUUUGGCAGAAACCAGGUUCGGCAGCCGAAAGGAGUUUCGGCCGCCGAACCCCUCUUGUGAAGGCAGCUUUCGGCUGCCGAAGGUGCCCCCGAAAAGAGACUUUCGUCUCUGUCUGGCACUUUCGGCCGCCGAAGGUGCCGCCGAACCUAGCUGAGUUUCGUCUCUGUCCAGGACUUUCGGCCGCCGAAGGUGCCGCCGAAGGUGCCCUGUUCGGCCAUUUCAUGCAUAUUUUCUGUGAUGUUUUCAUGAUGUUUUAGGGGGUUUUUGGGGGAUACAUUAGAGUUAUGAUUAUAUAUGUUGGUCCCUCAUUGGAGUCCACCUGUGUAGGUUCGGACCCGAGGAACCAAGGACCCCAGCAGUGAGCCAGCUGCUGAGAGUUUGACAGAGUCAGCCAGAGGUGAGUGGAACUAUACUUAAUCUUUUAAAUUAAGAAAGUGAAUAUUUUAUCAUGUUUCAUGCAUCAUGACUAUAAUAUAGGAUGUUUGCAUUAGAAUCACGAAUAUGCUACAUUGCAUUAUUAUAUUGUGGUUGAUGAGGAGGGACAUUGCACGACUCACUAGUCCUGUGUACGAAGUCCUGUGGUGCCCAUAAUAGGGCCGGGCAAUAGCUCCGAGUUACGAAGUCCUGUGGUGCCCAUAAUAGGGCCGGGCAAUACGAAGUCCUGUGGUGCCCAUAAUAGGGCCGGGCAUGGAGCUGAGGGAUUUUUGAGUCAGUCCGUCCAUGAUGUGAAAUGUUUGUGCAAUGAUGCAUUCCAUUAUAGCAUGUUUUAAAUAAUCUUUUUAUAGUUCUACUCACUGGGCACCUAGCUCACCCCUCUCCCCUAACCCCCAGGUUUGCAGGUACGGGAUUGAUAGAGAAGAAAAGAAGAGAAAAGUCAUAUGUAUGUAAUAGCUAGAGUAUGUGGACAUGACAAAUGAUAAGAAUGUAAUGUAAAGUUUUGAACAGUUAUGUUUAUGUAAUUAUGUUAUUGAGGAUAGAGUUGUGCUUGACC
rnacentral:lncRNA from 1 species